AUGAUAAAUCAAAAUCUUGGUAUUCUAAGCUGGAAUGUCCGGGGCUUAAAUUGUCCCGACCGUCGAUCAAUAAUCCAUGAAACAAUCCUCGCUACUCCAUGUCACUUGCUCUGUCUGCAGGAGACGAAGAUAGAGCUCAUUGACCCUUUCAACGCUUCAUACCUGGGAGGUCAAAGAUUAUAGAAUUUUGCCCAACGCCCUGCUAAUGGUACACGGGGUGGCAUCUUGCUUCUCUAGGAUGAUGAAGUUGUGGACGUGAAGGAUGUUUCCAUCGGAGUCUUCUUCCUCUCCUGCAACGUCAUGAUCAAAGAAUCCAAUAAAACCUUUAAGCUAACACGGCUAUGGCCCAACAAGAAGCAACCUGAAGGAUGCUUUGUUCCAGGAGUUGGUUGGCAAAAAACCUCCCAUGGCUCAAAGUGGCUUGUCUGUGGUGACUUUAACCAAAUAUACCGUGCCAGAGACAAGAAUAGAGCAAACAUCGACCGGAGCCGACUUGUCCGCUUCCGCAACGCACUGAACACUUAUGAGCUCAAAGAUAUUCAUUUACAAAACAGAAAAUACACUUGGAGCAAUGAAUGGAGCCAUCCCACCUUAAGCAAGCUCGACUCUUUCUUUUGUAAUGAAGAUUGGGACCUUGAUUUUGGCACUCACCUACUACAUGCGCUCUCGUCUUCACUGUCCGAUCACUGCCCCCUCCUCCUCGCAAAUGACAACGGCCCGAAGAGAUCAAAGUCCUUCCGCUUUGAAAACUUUUGGAUCAAAAUGCCUGGGUUCAAGGAGGUUGUUCGGGAAGCUUGGAAUAAGGAUAGUAACCACACUGAUCCUUACCACAUCAUUUUUCACAAGUUAAAAGAAACUAGUCAAAAAUUGAGGAGAUGGAGCAAGACGAUCUUUGCGCAUUCUAAGGUGCACAUCCACAUGGCUUUGGAAGUCAUCCUUCAUAUGGAUGUGGCUCAAGAACUCUGGCCUAUUAUCUCUGAUGAGCGAGAUCUACGGAAACGCCUCAAACGGAAGGUGGUGGCUUUGGCCAUUAUGGAGCGCGCGCGGAAGCAACAAAGCUCGCGAAUUACCAACCUCAAAGAUGGAGAUGCCAACACUCGUUUUUUCCACCUUCGGGUCAAUCAUAGAAGAAGGAAGAACUUCAUCCACCGCCUCAAGCACACGGUGGAUGGGUUAAGGCCCAUGACCAUAAAGUCCAUCAUUCAAGAGCAUUUCGCGAAGGUCACAAAAUGCGGUCAGCCUCGCCACACCGAUUUCAACUGGGGCAACAUCCCGGUCCCUGAAUGUGACCUCACGGACCUUGGCGCGGCCUUCAUAGAGGAAGAGGUGAAAAGGGCAAUUUUUGACCUUCCCAGCGACAAAUCGCCUAGACCCGAUGGCUUCUCUGGGGCCUUCUUCAAGGAAUGUUGGGAGAUCAUAAAAGGUGAUAUCAUGCUCGUGGUCAACCACUUCUCCAACUUACGCUCUGAAAACUUGCACUAG
rnacentral:rRNA from 1 species